CUGACUAUUGUUUGGCAACAUUUUUUUUCUUGAAUUUCUCAUUUCUGAGUAAUCUUUCACAACUGCAUGUAGGUUGGUGAUCCUCUUGAAAAGGUUGCACAUAAAGGAAUAGAUUGGAGCUUUAAUUGAUGAGAAGGCCAUGCCAAAAAACCAGAUAAAUGCUGGGGAGGAAUUUGCUUGCUAGGGUGACUUGAAAGGAAUGCAACUCUGAUCGUUUCUUGGCAUCAUACUCUGUUUGCUCCAUUAAAAUCUACAAUGCGAACAAGAAUAGGAAAGGAGGAUAAUGAACAUGAUGGAGAUGGUCCGGGAAGACAAGAAAUUGAGGUGUUAAGAAAUGUAAUUGCUCAAAGUCUAAUGAAUGCAUCUACUUA